CCCCAUGAGAUGUCAGUAGCAAUGGCACCUAAAUUUUCUUCAAUGUCUGGACCUUGCAGACUUUGCUUUAAGGCUGCCAAGUGGUUGCCAGUCCUUUUUAUUGUAACAGUUGUGGUAUGGUCAUACUAUGCCUAUGUCAUCCAGCUGAAUUUAUUCUCCAUUGACAGCAUCAUUGAAAAAAGUUUUUACUUAUUUGUUUACCACAUUCUGCUGUUCCUCUUCCUGGGCAUAUUGGCAGACAAUUUUCACAGAAAUUGGCAGAGUACCCAAACAGUUCCGACUACCGCCCUCUGAACUAGAAAGGUAUGAGGCUGCAGAAAGUGAUGAAGUUAGACGUGACAUAUUGGAGAGAUUUACUGAAAAAAAACUCCUGUGUACAAUCGCACUAUGACAGGAGAUAUACGUUACUGUGAGAAAUGUGUCCAGAUCAAGCCAGAAGAAGUCACCACUGUUUCAGUUUGUGGAGAGUGUGUGCUGAAGCUAGACCAUCAUUGCCCUUGGGUCAAUAAUUGUGUUGCCUUCACAAACUACAAAUUCUUUGUCUUAUUUUUGGGCUAUGCUCUUAUUUAUUGCCUCUUCAUUGCUGCAACCACUUUGCAAUAUUUCAUCAAAUCCUGGAAGAAUCAGUUGGGAGAAGUGUCAGGAAAGUUCCACAUACUGUUUGUCUUUUUUGUAUCCAUCAUGUUUGCAAUCAGUCUGGUAUCCUUGUUUGGAUACCACAUCUUCCUUGUUUCCAGAACAGGUCCACUCUGGGACCUCAAAUGAGUGGAAAUAAUGUAAAGCCCCUUCACACUGACAUCAAUCAUCCAACAAGAGCUUUGUGUAUUCAUGGCAAGGAAUUCCUGCCUUCAGCAAAUUUUCAUGAUGUGAUAGUCACAUUAACUGGAUCUAUUGGGUUAAGCAACAAAACAUUAAUGACUAAGCAGGAAAAUGAAAAGGUUCCUUUAGAAAUCAUUAGCAGCUAUACUAAGAGAAAUUGUGUAGCAAGACCUUCCAAUAUGGUAGAUGGCUGCAUUAGACUAGUCUUUCGUGCACCGAUCUUCCGCCUGAGUCACACGUGGGUCCAAGCAAGAUGGUUUUAGCUUGGGUGCAUACAACAACUUUCUGGAAGUGUUUGGCGACAACAAGAAGUUGUGGUUCCUGCCGGUAGCCACCAGCUUGGGUGAUGGCGUCACUUACCCUCAGCGAUGUGUUGAUGAAGAUACAGAUGACCUCCUAGGGUCUCGUCAGCGAUGGGCCGAAGAUGAUGAAGAAAAUGACCUUACCACAGGAUUCACAAAUAACCACACAUAUCCUCUGGAGGAGGUGGUGGUUCAGUCCAACCACACCAAUCCUGUGUAGACCAACACCUUUAAGAAGACCUUCUAUCUGCCUGACUUCAUAGAGACAUUCCUACAUCCCAAAACAGUGUGGACUAUAAUUUAGCUGGAGAAGAGGGAGUCUCACUUCUGCUGUUUAUAGAGUAUUAAGAUACCAUAGUGCAUACAGUUAUUACUUCCAUGACUUUAUAGUAAACAGAAGUGCUAUGCCUUAAAUUAUGAACAUUUUUCUCACCGUCUUUAAAAGUUAUAUGAUGGAAAUCUCCAAGCUUAAGACUGGAAAUGUCUGCAAUCUCUGAAGUCGUAACAGGUCCUUUAUGGGCCAGAAUAAGAACAGUUUUUUUGAUUAACAUUAAAGUUAGAACAGAGAAUUUAUGCAUUGAGUACUGGUUGGACUGAAUUAUGAUGGAAUAUGCUACAGUUUAUAUAGAAGGACAAUUUAUAUAUAAGGAAUAAAAGGCUGUAACAAGUCCUUUUUUCUUGAUUUUUUUCUUUUUUUCUUUAAGAAAACCAGGAAUUCUCUUUUAUUCUUCUUUUCUUAAAUGAAACAGGAAUUCUCAUAAUUUUCUGUACUUAUUCAUAUUGGCAAGUAUAAUACAUAUCUGUACUCUCUGGUAGGGAUAGCAGAUUUAAUUUUCUUGUAUUUUUUAUUAUAAAUAAAUUGCUAUCUUUACUGUAGAUAGCGAAUUGCUUUUGUGAUCUUGUUGUUAAGAGGAAGUAAAGAAUUCUUGAAAAGGAUUCAUGAUAUGUUCAUAUGUGAGUGUGGAUGUGUAUUAUUUACUGAAAAUUUCUUUGAUAAUUAACAUUGGUUUCAACUAAGUAGCCAACUCAUGAUUUUUAAUUAUUUUUGUCGUUGUUUUUUUGAACAAAUAUAAUGCUACAGUUAAAAGUAGACUAGUCUUGUGAUUUGGUAUUAAACACAUGGUUCUCAGUGACUUUUUUUUUUCUUUUCUUUUCUUAUCUUUGCAUUUGUGUGUAUAGGGUGGGUGCUUUUGUGUGUGUGUGUUCUUGCGUCUGUAUGUGUGCGUGCUUGUGCAUACACAGAUGUACGCAUUUGUAAUAAUUACAUGUGUUCACAAUUACAAACAUGCUUAUACAUAAAAACAUGCACACACAAACAAAUAUGUAUAUUGAAGUGGAUCAUGGAUGAGAGUUGUCAGUGUGAACAUUUUUAUAUUUUUACUGUAGUGCAGAUCAAGGUACUGCAGAUAUUUUUAGUAUGCAACACAUUAUGUGUAAUUUGAAUUUCACUAAGUCACUAAUUUUUGGUUUGUUUGAAUGUUUAGAUUUGAAAUUUGUAACGUCUGCUUAAGAUUCCUUUUUUUUUUUUUAGAUAAUGAUUGCUCUCAAGACUAACUUUGUUUUGCAUUUCAGUUGUACUACAUUGACACUUUAACUACUUGAGCAAUCUUCUGUGAUGCCUUGCAACAUUUUAGAUAUUCAAGAUGAAAUGACUACAUCUUUUCUGUGAAUGGGAUUCUUGUAGCUGAAUCAGUUUUUUCUGUAGUCAUUCUUGUAAUAAUGACUCACCAAAGAGUUCUCACAAGUCCUAGAAUAUAUGACAGGCCUCCAAAACAGAUGAAACCCUCAUAUCUUUUUUAUUAGUAGUAGUUUUAAGGAAGUCAUAAAGUAUGGAAUUGCUCUACAGUUAGGUUUGUUUCAUUGGAUUAUUAGUAUUAGUAUUUUUUAGAAAAAAAAAUCCCUCUGAACAUUUGCAGUUGCUUUUCAUUAUUGUUUCUUUAUUUUAUUAUACAGUUAUAAAAGUUAUUUCCCCUUGUUUCUUUCAAAAAUAUCCUUCUGUAAGAUAGUUACUACUAUUGUACAUUGUUUUGUCUGUUUAGGAAGCACAAAUUUAAUAAGCUAAGAAACCAUAAAAUACAAAAAAAAGGAUAAAAGAUAAAAACUAAAUAAUGGUGAUGCACAUGGUCUUGCAGGCUGACAAAAGUCCUGAAAAAGCCAGUUGUCAACAGUACAUGGUAAUGGCAAAUAGCUUAAUAUUUUUAAAGAUUAUAGUGUGCAAGUGACACCUCUGUGCUGUUUUGGUGACAAACUUGUGUUAACAUGAUGUCUUUAGAUACUAGUAUUUGUUGCAUUUAUGAUAUUUACAUCACUUUGAUAUGAAUAUAAUUUUAUCAUAUUUCUUAUGUCUCUGCUCACAUUGUACAGUUGACCUAUUCAAAGAAAAACAAUAUUUUGUCAGUGCUGUACUUACAAUGUUUUCAAAGAUUUUGUAAUGUGUACUUGUAAAUUGUAUAAUACAUUGACAAAGAUACAAAAACUGCUUUACCAUUAUAUAACAUGUUGAGCCCAAAGUGCUUGUAAGAGGAUCAAGGAAUUACCUCUGAAAUGGCUGCAUUUCUCCAUGAAAGACAGUCAAUAUUGGCAGGAUGAUUAUUAGCCUUAAAACAUGUAUUUUAGGUCUCACUUUUGGGAUGUAAAUGUGAUGAAUUUUAUAUUAGAUUCACACACUGUUAUAAGGUUUCAAUUACAUAAUGUUCCAUUUCAGAUCAUCAUAGAAAAAUAGCUUUGAAGUGAU